rnacentral:rRNA from 1 species
AAAUUGAAGAGUUUGAUCAUGGCUCAGAUUGAACGCUGGCGGCAGGCCUAACACAUGCAAGUCGAGCGGAAACGAGUUAUCUGAACCUUCGGGGAACGAUAACGGCGUCGAGCGGCGGACGGGUGAGUAAUGCCUAGGAAAUUGCCCUGAUGUGGGGGAUAACCAUUGGAAACGAUGGCUAAUACCGCAUGAUGCCUACGGGCCAAAGG